UACGUAGGUGGCAAGCGUUAUCCGGAAUUACUGGGCGUAAAGCGCACGCAGGCGGUCUUUUAAGUUUGACGUGAAAGCUCCCGGCUUAACUGGGAGAGGUCGUUGAAGACUGGAAGACUUGAGGCAAUGAGAGGGGUGUAGAAUUCCCGGUGUAGUGGUGGAAUGCGUAGAUAUCGGGGGGGAAUACCAGUGGCGAAAGCGGCACCCUAGCGUUAGCCUGACGCUCAUGUGCGAAAGCGUGGGGAGCGAACGGG
rnacentral:rRNA from 1 species